GACGAGGGAUCCAAGCGUUGUUCGGAAUUAUUGGGCGUAAAGCGGAUGCAUGUGGCUCUUUUAGUCAGGUGUGAAAUCCCAGGGCUCAACCCUGGAAGUGCAUUUGAUACUGGAGAGCUUGAGUGCUAGAGAGGUAAGUAGAAUACCUGGUGUAGUGGUGAAAAUACGUAGAUAUCAGGUGGAAUACCGGAGGCGAAGGCGGCUUACUGGCUAGACACUGACACUCAGAUCCGAAAAGCGUGGGGGAUCAAACAGG
rnacentral:rRNA from 1 species